UGUGUGUCCACCUCUUGUGUGGAGAGGUGGGGUUAAUUCCCCCACCAAGCGCACCCCUUUUCUUUUUUUGUCACCACUUAUGGGGGGGACUUUUAGGAGGCCGCCGGUGAUAAACCGGAGGAAGGGGGGGAUGACGACAAGUCAUCAUGGCCCUUACUAGGAGGGCUACCCCCCUGCUACAAUGGUCGGUACAAAAGGCAGCAACCUCCCGAGAAGGAGCAAAUCCCCUAAAGCCGACCGUAUUCCGGAUUGGAGUCUGCAACUCCACUCCUGGAAGAUGGAAUAGUUAGUAAUCAUGGAACAAAACACCGCGGUGAAUACUUUCCCCGGGCU
rnacentral:rRNA from 1 species